rnacentral:snRNA from 1 species
UCCGUCCACUGCUGAGAGCGGGAGG